AUAAAAAUAGGCGGGGGCAGCACCUGGAACUGAAGGCAGAUGGCAAAAUUGUUUUAAAGAAAAGUGUGGUUCUUUUCUCUUUUCAAGCGCAUUCAGGAUGACGUAAGGUUUCCAUCGCACAUUAUGAGGUUUUUACUAUGUUUUUGAGGUUUUUACUGCAAGUUUUGAGGCUUUUUUUAAAAGGUCUACCUAUAAUCCAAGUUUUGGUCUGCAGAAAUGUUUUGGCUUAUUGCCAUCUUCAGUGGUUUACCUUGAUGAAACGACCCAAGCCAGUGGGAAAAAUCAGACCAAAAUAUAAAAUUACCAAACUACUGGCUGGUUCACUACACAUUUAUAAAUCACCCAUGAAUGAUUGUUGCCCAAUAAGAAUACUCUGUGCAUCUGCAUGCGAAUUUGAACAGUUCAAAGAUACGAGCAAUUUGUUUACGUUGUGCGGAAUGUAGCAUGUAAUUAAGUCCUCAAUCGAGAUUUGGGACACGGGCAAAUGCAGCGAACCCGAAGUCUGAACCUGCGACUCGGCAAUUUCUUUAAUACCGCCUUC